AGUGAACGCUGGCGGUAGGCCUAACACAUGCAAGUCGAACGGCAGCACAGUAAGAGCUUGCUCUUACGGGUGGCGAGUGGCGGACGGGUGAGGAAUACAUCGGAAUCUACUUUUUCGUGGGGGAUAACGUAGGGAAACUUACGCUAAUACAGCAUACGACCUACGGGUGAAAGCAGGGGAUCUUCGGACCUUGCGCGAAUGAAUGAGCCGAUGCCGGAUUAGCUAGUUGGCGGGGUAACGGCCCACCAAGGCGACGAUCCGUAGCUGGCCUGAGAGGGUGAUCGGCCACACGGGAGCGGAAACACGGUCCAGACGCCUACGGGAGGCAGCAGUGGGGAAUGUUGGGCAAUGGGGGAAAGCCUGACGCAGCAAGCCCGCGUGUGAGAAGACGGCCUUCGGUUCGUAAAGCCCUUUUUUGGGGAAAAAACAGCUGUGGCUUAAACCCCGCAGUUCUUGACGGUACCGAAUAAAAAAGCCCCGGCUAACUACGUG
rnacentral:rRNA from 1 species